ACCGGCGAACGGGUGAGUAACACGUAGGCAACUUACCUUGCGAACGGGAAUAACCCCGGGAAACCGGGGCUAAUACCCGAUAUUGUCCCAGCAUUGAAAGGUCUGUCGCAAGAUGGGCCUGCGUCCCAUUAGAUAGUUGGCGGGGUAAUGGCCCACCAAGUCAAUGAUGGGUAGCUGGUCUGAGAGGACGAUCAGCCACACUGGAACUGAGACACGGUCCAGACUUCUACGGAAGGCAGCAGUGAGGAAUAUUGCUCAAUGGGCGAAAGCCUGAAGCAGCGACGCCGCGUGAAGGAUGAAAUCCGUUAGGAUGUAAACUUCUUUUGCAGGGGAUGAAUGACCGUACCCUGCGAAUAAGCACCGGCCAACUACGUGCCAGCAGCCGCGGUAAUACGUAGGGUGCGAGCGUUGUCCGGAAUUACUGGGUGUAAAGGGUCCGUAGGCGGAUAAGCAAGUCGGUGGUGAAAGUUCACGGCUCAACCGUGAAAUUGCCUCCGAUAC
rnacentral:rRNA from 1 species